UACAGAGACUGCAAGCGUUAUUCGGAUUCACUGGGCGUAAAGGGUUCGUAGGCGGUGCGGCAAGUUGGGAGUGAAAUCUCUGGGCUUAACCCAGAGGCUGCUUCCAAAACUGCUGUGCUUGAGUGUGGGAGAGGCGCGUGGAAUUGCAGGUGUAGCGGUGAAAUGCGUAGAUAUCUGCAGGAACACCCGUGGCGAAAGCGGCGCGCUGGACCACUACUGACGCUGAGGAACGAAAGCUAGGGGAGCAAACAGG
rnacentral:rRNA from 1 species